rfam:Microgenomates (Woesebacteria) bacterium GW2011_GWC2_31_9 TR21_C0005, whole genome shotgun sequence.
GCGCCUGUAGCUUAACGGAUAAAGCAAUAGUCUUCGGAACUAUUGAUGAGGGUUCAAUUCCUUCCAGGCGCA